AUGCUGCUCAUUCUCUCGCUUAGGUCCGCCAUUACAUUUCUUUAUCGAGCCGGCAAAGCCGUGCACAUAGGAUUGUGGGUGAUUUGGGAGAGUGAAAGAUACACAUAUGCAUCCUUUGCCGUCAAUGGGAAGUUUUCUGAACGAAGGACUCAGUUCUUGGAGGAAUUCGGAUG